rnacentral:rRNA from 1 species
GACGAACGCUGGCGGCGUGCUUAACACAUGCAAGUCGAACGGGAGUACUUUGAAAGCUUGCUGAUAAGUACUUUAGUGGCGGACGGGUGAGUAACGCGUGAGGAGCUGUCUUAUGCAGGGGGACAACAGUUGGAAACGGCUGCUAAUACCCCAUAAGCCGAGAGGUAAAAGGAGCAAUCCGGCAGAGGAGGUACUCGCGUCCUAUCAGCUAGUAGGUUGGGUAACGGCCGACCUAGGCGAAGACGGGUAGCCGGCCUGAGAGGGCGAACGGCCACACUGGAACUGAGAUACGGUCCAGACUCCUACGGGAGGCAGCAGUGGGGAAUAUUGGGCAAUGGGGGGAACCCUGACCCAGCGACGCCGCGUGGGUGAAGAAAUCCUUCGGGAUGUAAAGCCCUGUUGUAUGGGAAGAGCAGAAGACGGUACCAUACGAGGAAGCCCCGGCAAACUACGUGCCAGCAGCCGCGGUAAGAGUCACGUCG